AGAGUUUGAUCUGGCUCAAAUUGAACGCUGGCGGCAUGCCUAACACAUGCAAGUCGAACGGCAGCACGGGGGCAACCCUGGUGGCGAGUGGCGGACGGGUGAGGAAUGCAUAGGAAUCUGCCCAGUUGUGGGGGAUAACGUAGGGAAACUUACGCUAAUACCGCAUACGACCUACGGGUGAAAGAGGGGGACCUUCGGGCCUCUCGCGAUUGGAUGAGCCUAUGCCGGAUUAGCUAGUUGGCGGGGUAAGAGCCCACCAAGGCGACGAUCCGUAGCUGGUCUGAGAGGAUGAUCAGCCACACUGGAACUGAGACACGGUCCAGACUCCUACGGGAGGCAGCAGUGGGGAAUAUUGGACAAUGGGCGCAAGCCUGAUCCAGCAAUGCCGCGUGUGUGAAGAAGGCCUUCGGGUUGUAAAGCACUUUUGUUUGGGAAGAAAUCCGGUUGGUUAAUACCUGAUCGGGAUGACGGUACCAAAAGAAUAAGCACCGGCUAACUUCGUGCCAGCAGCCGCGGUAAUACGAAGGGUGCAAGCGUUAAUCGGAAUUACUGGGCGUAAAGCGUGCGUAGGUGGUUUGUUAAGUCAGAUGUGAAAGCCCUGGGCUCAACCUGGGAACUGCAUUUGAUACUGGCAGGCUAGAGUGCGGUAGAGGGNUGGUGGAAUUCCCGGUGUAGCGGUGAAAUGCGUAGAGAUCGGGAGGAACAUUCGUGGCGAAGGCGGCCACCUGGACCAGCACUGACAC
rnacentral:rRNA from 1 species